UGGGGAAUAUUGCACAAUGGGCGCAAGCCUGAUGCAGCCAUGCCGCGUGUGUGAAGAAGGCCUUCGGGUUGUAAAGCACUUUCAGCGGGGAUGAAGGCGAUAAGGUUAAUAACCUUGUCGAUUGACGUUACCCGCAGAAGAAGCACCGGCUAACUCCGUGCCAGCAGCCGCGGUAAUACGGAGGGUGCAAGCGUUAAUCGGAAUUACUGGGCGUAAAGCGCACGCAGGCGGUCUGUCAAGUCGGAUGUGAAAUCCCCGGGCUCAACCUGGGAACUGCAUUCGAAACUGGCAGGCUAGAGUCUUGUAGAGGGGGGUAGAAUUCCAGGUGUAGCGGUGAAAUGCGUAGAGAUCUGGAGGAAUACCGGUGGCGAAGGCGGCCCCCUGGACAAAGACUGACGCUCAGGUGCGAAAGCGUGGGGAGCAAACAGG
rnacentral:rRNA from 1 species